UGGGGAAUAUUGCACAAUGGGCGCAAGCCUGAUGCAGCCAUGCCGCGUGUAUGAAGAAGGCCUUCGGGUUGUAAAGUACUUUCAGCGGGGAGGAAGGCGAUGCGGUUAAUAACCGCGUCGAUUGACGUUACCCGCAGAAGAAGCACCGGCUAACUCCGUGCCAGCAGCCGCGGUAAUACGGAGGGUGCAAGCGUUAAACGGAAUUACUGGGCGUAAAGCGCACGCAGGCGGUCUGUCAAGUCGGAUGUGAAAUCCCCGGGCUCAACCUGGGAACUGCAUCCGAAACUGGCAGGCUUGAGUCUCGUAGAGGGGGGUAGAAUUCCAGGUGUAGCGGUGAAAUGCGUAGAGAUCUGGAGGAAUACCGGUGGCGAAGGCGGCCUCCUGGACGAAGACUGACGCUCAGGUGCGAAAGCGUGGGGAGCAAACA
rnacentral:rRNA from 1 species